rnacentral:rRNA from 1 species
CAAGGUCUCCGUUGGUGAACCAGCGGAGGGAUCAUUACCGAGUUUACAACUCCCAAACCCCUGUGAACAUACCUUAUGUUGCCUCGGCGGAUCAGCCCGCGCCCCGUAAAAAGGGACGGCCCGCCGCAGGAACCUUAAACUCUGUUUUUAGUGGAACUUCUGAGUAUAAAAAACAAAUAAAUCAAAACUUUCAACAACGGAUCUCUUGGUUCUGGCAUCGAUGAAGAACGCAGCAAAAUGCGAUAAGUAAUGUGAAUUGCAGAAUUCAGUGAAUCAUCGAAUCUUUGAACGCACAUUGCGCCCGCCAGUAUUCUGGCGGGCAUGCCUGUUCGAGCGUCAUUUCAACCCUCAAGCCCAGCUUGGUGUUGGGAGCUGCAGUCCUGCUGCACUCCCCAAAUACAUUGGCGGUCACGUCGAGCUUCCAUAGCGUAGUAAUUUACAUAUCGUUACUGGUAAUCGUCGCGGCCACGCCGUUAAACCCCAACUUCUGAAUGUUGACCUCGGAUCAGGUAGGAAUACCCGCUGAACUUAAGCAUAUCAAUAAGCC